AUAGGCGGCUAUGGCGAGAUGGAAACACCCGUUCCCAUCCCGAACACGGUCGUUAAGCAUCUCAGCGCCGAUGAUACUGGGUAUUCCCGGGAAAGUAGGUCGCCGCCUUUU
rnacentral:rRNA from 1 species